UCGAUGUACAUUUUGCAAAACCGUGAGAUGAGAAAUAGGAAAUCGAUACUGGCCAAUAACGGAGCGUGUUACAAACUGCUGAAAAUCUGAAUCGAGACGUGGAAGUAAACAAAUAUGUCAAAAUAUUGGAGGCAUUUUCUCUUUAUUAGCGUAAAGACUUGAAACAAUACUGAAUGCAAGAGAACGAUGAUACAUUACAGGUAGAUGUCUUAUAUGAUAGAAACGAAAAACGACUGUCUUCUAAGUUGACUGCGGAAAGUGCAAAACUAUUAUCAGCAUGAUGUUGUGUUCAGUUACUGCACAUUGCAAAGUGAAUGUUCUCAGCGACUGUUACUGCAAUGAUUCACUUGAAAUGAUAUUUCCCACCACGAAUUUAUGGUUUGUGAGUGGAAGUUGUUACUUGCAGAGAGUUCUAACUUAGUCCAUUAAGCACUAGACACAUUGGAUACAGCCAUGAAACAAAUGACUGAUAGAUGUAUGAAAAACAGACAAAAAGUUUCAACAGAUUCAAAGAGUGGGUAAAACAGAAUCUUCAAAACAAAUCAUUCUAUUGACUGUAAAAUAUGAAAAAUAAAGAGUUGUUGUUC